UGCAAGUCGAGCGGUAAGGCCUUUCGGGGUACACGAGCGGCGAACGGGUGAGUAACACGUGGGUGAUCUGCCCUGCACUCUGGGAUAAGCUUGGGAAACUGGGUCUAAUACCGGAUAUGACCGCAUGCCGCAUGGUGUGUGGUGGAAAGAUUUAUCGGUGCAGGAUGGGCCCGCGGCCUAUCAGCUUGUUGGUGGGGUAAUGGCCUACCAAGGCGACGACGGGUAGCCGACCUGAGAGGGUGACCGGCCACACUGGGACUGAGACACGGCCCAGACUCCUACGGGAGGCAGCAGUGGGGAAUAUUGCACAAUGGGCGGAAGCCUGAUGCAGCGACGCCGCGUGAGGGAUGAAGGCCUUCGGGUUGUAAACCUCUUUCAGCAGGGACGAAGCGUGAGUGACGGUACCUGCAGAAGAAGCACCGGCUAACUACGUGCCAGCAGCCGCGGUAAUACGUAGGGUGCGAGCGUUGUCCGGAAUUACUGGGCGUAAAGAGUUCGUAGGCGGUUUGUCGCGUCGUUUGUGAAAACCCGGGGCUCAACUUCGGGCUUGCAGGCGAUACGGGCAGACUUGAGUGUUUCAGGGGAGACUGGAAUUCCUGGUGUAGCGGUGAAAUGCGCAGAUAUCAGGAGGAACACCGGUGGCGAAGGCGGGUCUCUGGGAAACAACUGACGCUGAGGAACGAAAGCGUGGGUAGCAAACAGGAUUAGAUACCCUGGUAGUCCACGCCGUAAACGGUGGGCGCUAGGUGUGGGUUCCUUCCACGGGAUCUGUGCCGUAGCUAACGCAUUAAGCG
rnacentral:rRNA from 2 species